GAAAUCUGGCUCUUUCAGGGUCCGAGUUGUAAUUUGUAGAGGAUGUUUCGGGUGUGGCUCCGGUCUAAGUUCCUUGGAACAGGACGUCAUAGAGGGUGAGAAUCCCGUAUGUGACUGGAAGCCUUCGUCCAUGUGAAACUCCUUCGACGAGUCGAGUUGUUUGGGAAUGCAGCUCAAAAUGGGUGGUAAAUUUCAUCUAAAGCUAAAUACUGGCCAGAGACCGAUAGCGCACAAGUAGAGUGAUCGAAAGAUGAAAAGCACUUUGGAAAGAGAGUUAAAAAGUACGUGAAAUUGUUGAAAGGGAAGCGCUUGCAACCAGACUUGCUCGCGGUUGCUCAGCCGGUGUUCUCACCGGUGCACUCUUCCGCGAUCAGGCCAGCAUCGGUUUGGGCGGCUGGAUAAAGGCUCUGGGAAUGUGGCUCCUCUCGGGGAGUGUUAUAGCCCAGGGUGCAAUGCAGCCUGUCCGGAUCGAGGACCGCGCUUCGGCUAGGAUGCUGGCGUAAUGGUUGUAAGCGACCCGUCUUGAAACACGGACCAAGGAGUCUAACAUCUAUGCGAGUGUUUGGGUGUCAAACCCAUGCGCGUAAUGAAAGUGAACGGAGGUGGGAACCCUUAAGGGUGCACCAUCGACCGAUCCUGAAGUCUUCGGAUGGAUUUGAGUAAGAGCAUAGCUGUUGGGACCCGAAAGAUGGUGAACUAUGCCUGAAUAGGGUGAAGCCAGAGGAAACUCUGGUGGAGGCUCGCAGCGGUUCUGACGUGCAAAUCGAUCGUCAA
rnacentral:rRNA from 1 species